rnacentral:rRNA from 1 species
UGAGGAAUAUUGCGCAAUGGGGGCAACCCUGACGCAGCAACGCCGCGUGAGUGAGGAAGGUUUUCGGACCGUAAAGCUCUGUCGAGCGGGAAGAAAUGCAUGGUGGCUAAUAUCCAUCAUGCUUGACGGUACCGCUAAAGGAAGCACCGGCUAACUCCGUGCCAGCAGCCGCGGUAAUACGGGGGGUGCGAGCGUUGUUCGGAAUUAUUGGGCGUAAAGAGCGUGUAGGCGGCUGGAUCAGUCAGAUGUGAAAUCCCUGGGCUUAACCCAGGACGUGCAUUUGAAACUGUCCGGCUGGAGUAGGGGAGAGGAAAGUGGAAUUCCUGGUGUAGAGGUGAAAUUCGUAGAUAUCAGGAGGAACACCGGUGGCGAAGGCGACUUUCUGGCCCUAUACUGACGCUGAGACGCGAGAGCGUGGGUAGCAAACAGG